rnacentral:rRNA from 1 species
UAAGGAAUAUUGCUCAAUGGCCGAAAGGCUGAAGCAGCAACGCCGUGUGAAGGAUGAAUGGCCUUUGGCCCGUAAACUUCUGUAAAAAGGGAAAAACAGUCAGGCAUGUCCUGAUUUGAUUGUACCUUUGAAGUAAGCCCCGGCUAACUACGUGCCAGCAGCCGCGGUAAUACGUAGGGGGCAAGCAUUGUCCGGCUUUACUGGGUGUAAAGGGUGCUCAGGCGGGGUUGUAAGUCAGUGGUGAAAUCCCGGAGCUUAACUCCGGAACUGCCAUUGUGACUGCAAGUCUAGAGAUCGGGAGAGGUUGAUGGAAGAUCUGGUGUAGCAGUGAAAUGCGUAGAUAUCAGAUAGAACACCAAUGGCGAAGGCAGUCAACUGGCCCGAUUCUGACGCUAAAGCACGAAAGUGUGGGUAGCAAACA